ensembl:lncRNA
UGUCAACUGGGUGUCAUCACACAGACAGAACUAACUCUUAUAAUAAAAAGAGUUAAAGUCCCAGAGUGCAUUGGUGUAAGAGCCAUCGAAUGAAAGAGCUUCAGACUCUGUUGCCGGGCAGCAGCUUCUGAUUAUGAUGUAAUCAUCACAUCACUCCUGUCGAUGGAGUUGUCUCCAUAGCAACAGAAGCUGAGGCACAUGGGUCUCCUGCUACCACCAUUCCACCUCUGCAGCUCAUCCAGAAUGCAGCAGCUCCACUGGUCUUUAACCUUCCUAAGUUCUCCCUCACUCCUCCACUCCUCCGCUCUCUUCACUGGUACCGGUGGCUCAUCCAGUUCUAAACAUGGUGCUCACGUAUCACGCUGUGAAUGGAUGGGGUCCAGCUUCCAUCCAGGACCUGGUCCAACCCGACACCCCGACCUCUGACCUCUCUGCUCUGCAUGUGAUAAACUGCUUGUUCCUCCUCACUGAGAGCAAAACACUCGACUAGAUCUCCACUCUUUGCUGUCCUGCUCCUAAAUGGUGGAAGGAGGUCUCUGAAGACAUCAGGACCACAGAGAGCCUUCACAUCUUCAGACUAAAGACACACCUCUUCACACUCUACCUCCACUAACACACUAACUACCUGGAGCACUUACAUUAAAUGGAUGAAUCAGAACUGUGAAACUACAGAUCUAACCGGAAGUGACCGUUUAUAACUUCCUGUUUGUUUCCUGCUCUCUUUACAGGUGCGAAGCAGACAAGUAAAUAUCUUGUUAUCGAUGUAUCGUGUCAAAUUAAAUGUACUAUUAUUAUCACUGAUGAACGCUGGCGUCGGUAACAGGAAGUCAGAGAAUGGUGACUUCCGUUUUGUCAGUGUGCCGGUAGACAGGCGAACAGGUGAACAGGUAAACACCGAGCCGUCCCUUCAAAGUGGCACGUGGCCCAUAAUAACAACAGGUUGACCAACGUGGUCGCUGAUGAAAUACACGUGGCUCACGUGUCAGACGCUUUCCCGCAGAGAUCUGGUUACAACCGAAGAGCCGAAUUGAAGAGGAGCUCGUGACAGCUGGAGGACACCACACCUUUAUGACGUCACCGUGGAGCCCUGCCGCCACGAGCCGGGUGGACUCAAAGUGACCCGCUUCUCCGCGGAGGCUCCUACCUGGCCGUCCUCCGCCGGGGAUCGAACCCGCGGACCUGCCGCCGCCCUCCGGUCCGCUGAUCGUCUCACCUCAGGUGUGAUCGAUCGAUAGAAUCACUGCUCCCAUCCGGGAUCAGACGAGCCGAUCGGCGCGGCCGCCCCGAUGAUCGAUCAUCGCAGAUCGAUGGUGUGAUCGGAUGAAGGAUCCUCGCUCUUCAUCUUCCUUCUCCUCCUCUUCCUCCUCAUCGAUAAAGCAGCAGCCUGAAUGAGGAGCCGCUCCAUCAGCACCGCGAGGCGCGCUCACAACGACUCGGGAAUGCGCACGUCCGCGCGCACGGACUCGCAUGUGUUGACGGAUCAAACAGAUCGAUAAUCACUUAUUUUAAAUGGAAUAAUCAUUAAAUAAACGCUUUGUCUUCC